AUUGAACGCUGGCGGCAUGCCUUACACAUGCAAGUCGAACGGCAGCGGACCUUCGGGUGCCGGCGAGUGGCGAACGGGUGAGUAAUAUAUCGGAACGUACCUUUCAGUGGGGGAUAACGUAGCGAAAGUUACGCUAAUACCGCAUAUUCUGUGAGCAGGAAAGCAGGGGAUCGCAAGACCUUGCGCUGAUUGAGCGGCCGAUAUCAGAUUAGCUAGUUGGUGAGUAAAGGCUCACCAAGGCGACGAUCUGUAGCGGGUCUGAGAGGAUGAUCCGCCACACUGGAACUGAGACACGGUCCAGACUCCUACGGGAGGCAGCAGUGGGGAAUUUUGGACAAUGGGCGCAAGCCUGAUCCAGCCAUGCCGCGUGAGUGAAGAAGGCCU
rnacentral:rRNA from 1 species